CUUAUACUCCCUCAUCCGGAAAUACUCAUCAUCAAAAUAGUUAAAAAGAGAUGUAUUUAGAACUUAAAUACAUCUAGAUACAUCCCCUUUUAUCCAUUUUUAUGACAAGUAUUUCCGAACGAAGGGGGUAUUUG
rfam:Triticum aestivum genome assembly, contig: Triticum_aestivum_CS42_TGACv1_scaffold_146989_2BS